GUGUUCGUUGAAAUGAGACAGUUGGCAUCUCCCCUGACAGGGAUGGGAACAGCAUUCGGGCUUACCUGCAACACAACGGUUAAGGCUAACAACUUUGGUAGAUCUUUACCCAAUUUUUAA